UAUAAUUGCUAACGUUUAGGCUUCUGUUCCCAGCAUUUUACGUGAAUAGUUGGUGGGGAGCAGCUGCCACGACCAGUUUAUUUGUUGCUGCAGCAAUCACAGAUUGGCUUGAUGGCUACCUUGCCAGAAAGAUGCAUCUAGGUACGGCAUUUGGUGCUUUUAUGGAUCCCGUGGCCGAUAAGCUUAUGGUUGCUGCAACAUUGGUCUUAUUAUGUACAAACCACCUAAAAUUGCCUUAUUCGGAGAUAUCCCUUGGCUAUUUCCAGUACCAGCCA